rnacentral:tRNA from 1 species
UGGGUUAGCUCAGUGGUUAGAGCUUGGGUCUUGUGACCUGAAGGUCACGGGAUCGAUUCCCGCUGGAGGCAG